rnacentral:lncRNA from 1 species
UGUAAGGUACCGAACUUCUAAAACUAUGAAGUUACGGUGUACAUUUAAAUAGUUCCGGUGAGGUUGCGGUGGAAUGUAACAUACUGGAUUUUAAAUAUAAAAGCGAAAAUAAAUAAAAAUAGUAUGAGAUACUAUUUUAUUGGAUUUAGAGAAGUGAAAUAUAGGUUGGAAAUGAUCUGUGCUGAAAUCGGAGCGAAAACAGAAGAUUUAGAAUUUUCUGUGUGAAACGGGACAGAUAAAUUAGCAGAAAAUGCACAGUAUCAGAAAAUUAUGAAAACUGGAGAAUAUGUCAGAAUUAUUUUUAUGAGGCUAGAUUUAAACUUUCAUUUCAUUCUAACACCUGGAAGGUGGAAAAUAAAAUCGAACUGCUAUAUGCUAAAGAUUACAGUUCAGUACAGUUUUCAGUGACCAAACGGGGUCGAAACUGAAAUAUUAAAAUUUCUUUGGACUCCUUAAGUAAAACCAAACAUGACUAUCAAAUUUGAGCUCAAACGGAUGUUCAGGGAGCUCCGGCGAAAGAUAUCAGAUUUCGAACUGCCUGGAGUGAAUAGUGUUUGGUGUUGACCAUAGAUAGAAGCUAAUUAGCUUCUUCUUCCUCAUCACCACCAGCCGCAAGCAUCACACGCACGCAUGGAGAUGGGGGGGGGGAGAAACCCUCCUUUCUCUCUCUAAAUAUCUCUCUCAUCUCUCCAAAUCUCUCUCUAAAAAUUUGAGGGUUGGUGGAGAGCGAGCUUGCGAAGGCGUUGGAGGCAAUGGAUCGAGCUUUUGUGCGGCCGUUGAAGCAGCGUGCUUUCGUCACGGCGUUCACAUUAUGGUAAGCUUUUGGUAUUUGGCUUAAUCCUUAGCUUUAGGUGUUCUAAUAGCCUCUAAUGAGCAUUGUUAGCAUGUUGCACCAUUUAAUUUGGAUUAUUUGGAGGUUAAUUCAUGUUAGGCUUAAAAAAUGGAGUUUUGUAAAAUAGUAGGGUUUGAUCUCAUUUGACCCUCCGUAAACCUAAUUGCUAGGUAAAUGAACGCGUUGGCGAAGUCGGUUCGGCGAUUCGCCAAGCCAUUGUGAAGAUAUUAAAGAAAUGGACGUUUAGGCGUCGUUUCCGUCUGGAGGGCCGAGGCGACGUUCAAAAAUCGUGGAAAUGGAUUUGGAGCACCGUAGCAAGAAACCGAAGACCUUUAAUUUCUGGAUCGCGGAUCGGGGGUCGUUCGGUGGUCGCGCACGCAGUGGGUCGAGCCGAGCGCGUGCGUCGUGGGAGGCCGAUUGCGAGUGACUACAAGCAAUCGGAACGCGAUAACAGGUGGGUUGUGCUUACCGAAGCGACUUGGUUGCCCCGUAUGUCAAAGCGGAAUGUGAAUCCUUGUUGAUGCAUAAAUGUAUGUGCAUAUGAACAUGUUAGCAUUAUAGAUUCAUGUUGACAUGUAGGAGAGCAUGCUAGAGAACAUGAGCAUAUAAAUGAAUGUUAACAUAGUGUUAAUUAUAUGAGUUAUGAGAAAUUGCUAAAUGUAUACACAUGUUAGCGUUACGUAAAUGCAUGCUAGUCGGUAAUGGCAUACUAAUGUGUUGAAAUAUGUGCUUAAUGAAAUAUAUGCUAGGGGCAUUUCGCAUCUUGAGAUAAGGUUGGAUAAAUGCAUAAUGGCAUCAUGUGAAUACAAGUUAGACGACAAUAGUGUAUUAACAUUAUGAAGAUGCAUUCGAGAGGAUAAUGCUUAUUGAUAUGAUGAGAAAAGCUAUACAUGUAUAACAUGCAUGUUGAUAAUGUAGGCUAUGUUAAAUGUAGAUGCAUGUCGGCAUCAUAGAAUGCAUGCUAGAGUAUAUAUGAUUAUAGAAACUCGAUGUGGACAAGUAGGGUCAACUAGAUCGAGUGGCACCGAACUUAGUGUAAUUAACAUAGGUCGAGUAUGAACCUAGUGUCAAGAACCUAGGAUGAGCAAGAAUGACGUCGAACCUAGUGUCAUGGACCUAGGCUAGAUCGAGUGGCAUUAACCUAGUGUUGAUAAACAUAGGUUGACAUUGGUCCUAGUUUUAUUGAACCUAGAAUUAAUAAGAUCUAGGUAGAGAGGCAUUAACCUAGUUUAAAGAACAUAGGUUAUGUGAUAAGGGCGCUAAACCUAGAGUCAGCUAGACCUAGGAUGGAAAGUGCAUUGAACCUAGAUAGGUCGAUGUCAUAGGGUUUAAGAUUACCCUAGAGGCUUGGAAAGUAGAUUCCGGAAUCUUAGGAUUGUAAACUCGAUAGUUCUAAAACAGUGGGGGCAGUUGGCAAGGUUCCCCUCCCAGUGGACGAACUUCGAGAGUGAGCUUGUUGAGGAUUCAAGGCCACGGGGGCAGUUGGCAAGAUUCCCCUCCCGUCGGCAGAAUCAUGGAUCGCUGGGGGCAGUUGGCAAUGUUCCCCUCCCUAUCUGGGGUCUUGAGCCACGGGUCAUGUUGGCAACGUUCCCCCUCCCGCAGCGGAAAGAUCCUUGACCACGGGUGUACGUAGCUCUGGGCGACCCCUUGGGCGACGUGAAUGUGGAUUGAAGGCUAAGGUGUAUGCGAAGGUUCCUUCACCUUGAGCCGGACAGAGCGCGGUUUAGCCGCAGUUGAUUGACUCGAGACCGAGUCGGGUGGCUAGCUUGGGUAAGGUAGAUAAAACCUUAAGGGGCUAAUAGUAAAUGAUAUAGAUCUAAGGUAAUAGAAGCCUUAGAGGUUAGUUGAAUUUGGGCAAGAUAGCGAAAUAAAAGUAGAAUCAAGUGAUGUACUUCUCAUUGUUGCAUUAUUGCAUCGUUGCAUAUACGAUGGUAUUGUUACAAUUGCGAGGCAAGGUAUGGUUCUAUUAAUUGCGUAGUUAAGAUAUCUAUCUAUCUGUUUAUUAAACUAACCUGCAGAUGCCUCCUUUGAACCUAUCGGUCGAGCAUUUCCCUUGGGUGGCCGUACCCACUGGGAACUAUGGAGUUGGUUCUCACCCCACGUUGUUUUGGGGUGUUACAGGUUCGCACGAGAGCGGCGCGGCGGCGCGAGGAAAGGGAGUAGCUCCGUAGAUAGCGCUCUACCCCAGAGACCAGAGCUAGCGGUACCCUGUCAACAUAGCUUAGGGAUAUAAAAAAUGAAAAGAACACAAUGUAUCAAAAUGUAUUAAACUUGUAAUCUAAGUGAUGUAAUAACCAAGAUUGUAUUUGGAGGAAAAGAAUGAGAAUUGAGAUGUAAAAAGAAUGUAUGAAUGAGAAUGCUGCAAUAAUAUAGGAUGUGUUAUGUUGUUGAUACCUUCCAUUAUGCAAUCUUAAUUGAUAUCAGUUCCUGGUUGGAACCUUCAUAUUGUAUUGAUUGCGAUGCCUUGAACGUACAGGGGAGACUCUGUCCGCAGUACAGGGGAAACCCUGUNCUCUAAGACGGAUAUUAGAGGCAGACUCGAGGUGUGGUUUAUUCUCAACCGAGGGUGUUCAUUUUGGGCGCGCAUAACAUGAAGCCGAGUGAUGAGAAUAGACGCCCUCGCAUGACUUUCGCCUGAUUGACUUUUGAGUCAUGUUAAUGGUUUCGUGUUUGACCCUGAGGGUCGAGAGCUAAUCGAGUUGUCCUGUUUCAUGGAGCGAUGGCAUCGCGCAGGCGAUCUUCAUCCAGGUCGGUGCGGGGCGGGGCAUGUGGUGUUCCUGAGCAAGCCGAGGCGAGCGGGGACCCGGUGCUCCGCGAGCAGUUGAAUACGCUCAUGGGCGUAGUGCAGCGACAGGAGGAGCAGAUCAAGGAGCUCCAUGAGUUGUUGACAUGACAGGCCGCAGCGCCUGCGCUGGUAGCAGCGCGUCGUGCACCCUCAGGAGUCGCGGUAGGUUUGGGGGUCGUGGCCCCUGGCUCUGUGGAGAUGGAGCCGGUAAAGGAACGAGCUGUGGCGGUGCUCAUGGCUUUCAAGAAGUUUAAGCCGCCUACCUUUGACGGAGAGUCGGUGGAUCCGUGGGUCGUGGAGAUGUGGAUUGACUUUAUGGAGACUCUCUUUGAGGACUUGUAUACCUUGGAGCGAGAAAAGGUAAAGCUAGCCGCACAUUGCUUAGAGAAGUCGGCGAAGGUGUGGUGGAAAGGCGUUAAGCGAGAUCGAUCGCCUAGUCUCCCUCCUAUGACUUGGAAUGAGUUUCAGGGAUUGGUAUUCUCCGCGUAUUUCCCCGACAACGAGAAGAGGAGGCUCCAGGAGAAAUUCAGGAAGCUCCACCAGGGAGACCGUACCGUAAGGAAGUAUGAACGGGAAUUCACCCGUAUUGUGAAUUGUGUUCCACAUGUGGUGCAGGAUGACGAGGACAAAGCUGAUUGCUUUGUGCGGGGACUUCAGCCGGGAGUUUUACGGUAUGUGCAUCCGUUCAAGUUGCAAACUUUUGCUAAAGCCGUGGACCGAGCCUUGUGGGUAGAGCAAGGCGAUGACUCUGUGCGAGAGGAGCGCGAGUCUGAUAGGCAGGAGGCAAGAGCAGUGCGACCGAGAAACUGUUCAGGUGGCCAAUCAGGUUCCAGACAGCCCCCGAGUCAGUUGCAGUCACAGUCUCGAACCCCGAAGCUAGCUUCCAACCAGUCUUCGGGAUGUGUGAUUUGCGGUGGAUCCCACCGAGCACGGCGGUGUGCACUGCGUGAGGGAAGAUGUAUUCGCUGUGGGCAAUUGGACCACACGUGGCAUGAUUGUCCCACGGGCGAUGGACAACCCUUGCCGAUAGCGACGGCAUUCUCAUCUCCGGGACAGGUUAUGGAUGUGCAACUUUUGGCACGGUCUGGAGAGCAAGGUGUGGUGAUCAGGCAGCCGGAGGGCUCGCGGCGAGCGCCAAGUGGCCAGGCCUACGCGACCCAAGUUGAGGAACCUGCUGCUGCUGGUGAUAUCAUCGCAGGUAUGAUUUAAUUAAUUGAGACAAUUGUACACUUCUGCAUGAUGUAGAAUUGAAGCAUUGCAUGCAUUUGCUUCAUAGUCAUUUACUACUACUUAUGCACAAGUAUAGUAGGGACUGGGAUAUGGGUUAGUGUAUCUACCCUAGCAUGCAUAAGUCGUGAUCGAGCGUCGCCUACCUAAGUGGAUAGGUGAUUGGUUGGUGCCGGCUGGUUGCGGGCGGUGAACCAAGGACGAGACUCAUGGUAGAGUGGUUGGUUAGUUGCCGAGUACGAGCACAUGGACCUAGUGGCACCUCGAAACGAGGUGGGUAAGUCGUGCUCGUGUAGUCGGUGUGCAUAGGCAGUGUUGCCUAAUGCUGAGCUUAGUAUAUGGCGUACAGAGCGCUCGAGCAUAGAUACUCGAAGAGUGUGAUGUUGAAUCAGCCGGGUGAGUGUGUAGGCAGUAGCACUGUAGCAUUGCUAAGUGUGAAGCGUGCCUGAGAUCACUCGUAGGGGCUGAUGGUUCGCACUAGGUACUUAGAAGCUGAGAGUGGUACGUGCGACUCGAUAGAGUGUGUCAUGUAGGACGACAAUGACGGGUAUUGCUUGAGGAUGAUCCGUGCCUUGACCACUCGUGGACUGUGGAGCCUAGGCCCUUUGGGCAAGCGCAGUCAGCUGUGAGUGACAGCGGCCCGAUACCUACGGGUAGGGCAAAGUUAUGGUCAGGACGGUAGUCCAAGCUUAAACCCGGGAACGUGGAAUUCCGCGUGUUGGAUCUCGGGAUCGAGGAUGCACUGAGAUUGCGGUUGUGACCCAACCUGAGGAUUUGAUGUGGUUUGGGGUCAUGGUUGCUCCUGGUUGGAGUGUGUGCAAAUUCUCCAAUGAGAAUUUCGCCCAAUGAUGUUUGGGUCUACGAUAGUGAGCGAGAGACGCUAUGCGUAGUUGAGAACGGUUAGGCGGUAGGCCUACGUAGUAUUUGUGACCGUUGGUCCUCCUGUGGAAGCCGACGUAAUCGGUUUAGCAGAUAACUCUGUGGAUGAGUUGGAGUAAGGAAGUGAAUUCUCGAAAUACGAGAGUUGGACUUCGCUCAAAUCGACUAAUUGUCGAGUAGGUGUGCUUCGGAAAAGCUGAAGAAGUCAAAUGCACAAAAAGUGCUUUGAAAUGGAGUCCGCGAGAGCAAAUGGUGCAAGAACCUGCACUUGGCAGAUUUGCUCUCGGGGACCGGUCCAUAGCGGGGGGGGGACCGGUUCCCGAACGUGGUCUGCGCAAGCUUGCUCUCAGGGACUUGUCCCAGGAGGGAGGGUCCGGUUGCCCCGAGGCUGAGGGUUGCGCAGUGCGAGGCAACCGGUCCCAGGUAGGGCGAGACCGGUCCCCGAGUAUGAAAUUUGCCCAGGCAGGCUGGGUCAUGUUGGAGGAGUUUGAGAGCUUGAGGAUAAUGCUCUUUUGUGGAUUGAGAGUCGAGAUGCGCCGGAGUGGGCCAUCUCUCAAUAGAGCAAAGAUCCAGGUGUGGUUGGAGCACUCGCGAUUGGUCGAUGCACCAAUGAUAUAGCUUCUAAGCAAUGUUGGUGAUCGAAUCGGAGUGCCCUGAUUGGAGAAAGUAAGUGCAAGCAGAAGUUCUUGCAUCGCAAGUGGUGAAUGGUGUCAGAGCGCGUAGUGUCGUUGAGUUUUGACUUGCGCUACCACCAAGAAUAACGGAGACCCGUAAUGCACUUUCGGAGUUACGUUUAGCAAAUGUGAGUGAAUUUAGUCUCACAUCCUCCGUAGAAGGCCUUUGGACAGUUCCAAUGAGCAUAAGGCCACUCCGAAAUAGAAAAGUGCAUUGUAAUCGUUGUUACUCGAUAAGUAGAGUUGGGGUAUGAAUUGGAGUUAUUUGAGUUUCGAGGACGAAACUCUUUAUAAGGAGGAGAGGAUGUAAGGUACCAGACUUCUAAAACUAUGAAGUUACGGUAUACAUUUAAAUGGUUCCGGUGAGGUUGCGGUGGAAUGUAACAUACCGGAUUUUAAAUAUAAAAGUAAAAAUAAAUAAAAGUAGUACGAGAUACUAUUUUAUUGGAUUUAGAGAAGUGAAAUAUAGGUUGGGAAUGACCUGUGCUGAAAUCGGAGCAAAAACAGAAGAUUUAGAUUUUUCUAUGUGGAACGGGGUAGAUACAUUAGUAGAAAAUGUACAGUGUCAGAAAAUUAUAAAAACUGGAGGAUAUGUCAGAAUUAUUUUUAUGAGG